rnacentral:rRNA from 2 species
UAAGGAAUAUUGGUCAAUGGAGGGAACUCUGAACCAGCCAUGCCGCGUGCAGGACGACUGCCCUACGGGUUGUAAACUGCUUUUAUACGGGAAUAAACCCCGCUACGUGUAGCGGGCUGAAUGUACUGUAAGAAUAAGGAUCGGCUAACUCCGUGCCAGCAGCCGCGGUAAUACGGAGGAUCCAAGCGUUAUCCGGAUUUAUUGGGUUUAAAGGGUGCGUAGGCGGCCUAUCAAGUCAGAGGUGAAAGACGGUAGCUUAACUAUCGCAGUGCCUUUGAAACUGGUGGGCUUGAAUGUACUUGAGGUGGGCGGAAUGUGACAAGUAGCGGUGAAAUGCAUAGAUAUGUCACAGAACCCCGAUUGCGAAGGCAGCUCACUAAAGUAUGAUUGACGCUGAUGCACGAAAGCGUGGGGAUCAAACAGG